rnacentral:rRNA from 1 species
UACGUAGGGCGCAAGCGUUGUCCGGAAUUAUUGGGCGUAAAGAGCUCGUAGGCGGUUUGUCGCGUCUGCUGUGAAAACCUAAGGCUCAACCUUGGGCUUGCAGUGGGUACGGGCAGACUAGAGUGCGGUAGGGGUGACUGGAAUUCCUGGUGUAGCGGUGAAAUGCGCAGAUAUCAGGAGGGACACCGGUGGCGAAGGCGGUUCUCUGGGCAUGUUCUGACGCUGAGGAGCGAAAGCGUGGGGAGCGAACAGG